rnacentral:rRNA from 1 species
GGUAUGCCGUUGAUUUAUAAAUUGAAAGGCUGCGGUAUUUUAACUGUACGAAGGUAGCAUAAUCACUUGUCUUUUAAUUGAAGGCUAGUAUGAAUGGUUUGAUGAAAAACUUUCUUUCUUUGUUUAAUUUUUUUGAAUUUAAUUUUUAAAUUAAAAAGUUUAAAUUUUUUUAUAGGACGAGAAGACCCUAUAGAAAUUUAUUUUUUAUAUAAAUUUUUCUUUUUGGCUUUUAAAAGUUUAAUUUAGAAGAAAAAAUUUUGUUGGGGUGACAAUAAAAUUUUUAUAACUUUUAUUAUUUUUUUUCCAUUAAUUUAUGUAAUGAUCCAGUUUUAUUGAUUAAAAGAUUAAUUUACUUUAGGGAUAACAGCGAAAUUUUUUUAGAA